AGCAGCCGCGGUAAUUCCAGCUCCAAUAGCGUAUAUUAAAGUUGUUGCAGUUAAAAAGCUCGUAGUUGAAUUUCGGGGUUAGUAGGUUGGUCAUGCCUCUGGUAUGUACUGGUCUCACUGAUUCCUCCUUCCUGAUGAACCUUAAUGCCAUUAAUUUGGUGUUUUGGGGAAUUUGGACUGUUACUUUGAAAAAAUUAGAGUGUUUAAAGCAAGCUAACGCUUGAAUACAUUAGCAUGGAAUAAUGAAAUAGGACGUUCGAUCCUAUUUUGUUGGUUUCUAGGAUUGACGUAAUGAUUAAUAGGGAUAGUUGGGGGCAUUAGUAUUCAAUUGUCAGAGGUGAAAUUCUUGGAUUUAUUGAAGACUAACUACUGCGAAAGCAUUUGCCAAGGAUGUUUUCAUUAAUCAAGAACGAAAGUUAGGGGAUCGAAGACGAUCAGAUACCGUCGUAG
rnacentral:rRNA from 2 species